rnacentral:lncRNA from 10 species
AUUUCUGGGUAGGUAACUGAGAGAAGCAGGAAUUGUGCAUGUAUCUCCAUAUGGUUUUAUUUUUAAAGAAUGAAAUAGCAACAAAUAUAAACAACUGCUGUAACAGCAAAGAGCAUAAUUUCUUCUAAAAUGAGGAUUAUAUUUAGAACACUCCAAAUGGGGACACACUGUCUGACAAGAAGUCAGAAUAUCGGAAAAUGGAAGUGUCUUACUUAAUUAAAUAACCCUGAAGUAAUUUAAUAUCAUGAGUAGAUGCUGCAUCUUAGUCCAGGGAUUUUUAAAGUGUGGUUCCUGGAAGAGCUGGAUCAGAGUCAUCUGUGUUGAUGGUUUAACAUAAAGAUUUUCGAGCCCCAAGACUCAAGUAGGACAAGGAAUUUGAAUUUUUAAGCAGCUCACCUGACUUGUCUGUCCUCUAAUGUCUGAAGACAUCUGACCUCUGCUCUUUCAGUAAAAGCAACAAUGGUUUUAUGAGCAUUGUCGUCACAUCUCUCCACUCAAGGGAUCCUUCUCAUUUCUCCCAGCUGAGGUCACCCACAGCUGCUGCUUCUAACUGCUGGCUUCCAGCCUG